rnacentral:lncRNA from 1 species
UUUUUUCUUUUUUUAAAUGAACUGUAAUUGCAGACACCGGACUCCUAUCUUACUCUUCCAGUUCAAGGUGACCAUGUGCUGGACAUUAGGGUCACAGGAGCUUGCCACUAUUUUACAUCCACCACAGGGUUUCAACAGAAAAUUAGGAUUCACAGUAUGAUCUGUGGGAGACAAUAUGGAGCACAAGCAGACACCAGCCCACAAAGACCCUUAUUGAACAGCAUCGGGCCCCUGGAACAUUCACUAUCUGUGAAGCAAAGUCUGGAUUAUAAACCGAUCUCCACUUUUUAGAGUAAAAAAUAUCUUAAACUCACAACAGAGGUCUCCGAGAAGAUUACAGAGCUGUGACAGUCUCCUCUGAGCUGCCUCCUUCUUGGAGGCUGGAGGCACAUCGCACACUUGAGGGUGUAUGCCUCUCACUGUAAUCUUACAUCAUCCAGCUUGUCUACUAACAAUCUUUAUUUCAACUGUAUCCUUAGAGGAAGCAAACCACUUGGAUUAUGUAGUGAAAGUGAGAGGCAGCCAUUAAUCUACUGUCAUACAAACAAGGGAUGUUAUUAUCCUCAUGUUAAAGCAAAUGUUUAACAGAGACAGCCUUCUAACAAGGAUACUAUUACUAAAACUCCACACAACUCUGCUGUUGCUGUUGUGAUGCUACAUUCCCAGCAAACAUAGGCCAAAUAAAAGGCUCUAAGCCCUGAGGUGUUACCUGAGGCUGUUGAUGGUGGCUUCACAAAAUUAAUACUGAAAGCAGAAUUCUUCCUCGUCUUUGCCUAUAAAGCCAGCUGGGCACCAAAGUCUGAUCUGCAUAUAAUAUGUGUAAAUCAGUACAGGUUGCUCAUCCGAUCUGCAUGCAAAGCUUCCACACGUACAAGUGGCUCCUGCUGUCACAUCACACUGUAGAUAUUUCCUGUGAAUAGUCGUCUCUCCUCUGCCCUGCAGAGCCUCAUGGGAGAGCUUCCAGAACACCUUUUCAGAUUCCAAAAUCACUAACAGGUCAGCUCACUUCUUAAAUCAUCCAAGUCUCAUAGGUCUUCAUGCAGCAGCUGUCUGUUCCCCAAUUAAGCGUUAUAAUGACAUAGCAAUUCCAUUACUGAAAGUCUGUGUGUGGCAAAUAUAAGUGAACACAUUUUCUUCUAGUUUUCCAUGUAAGUAUUCUAAGCAGAGACAAUGUGAUCCCAUAUACUGCAUUCUCAAUUUUCAUACUGAAUCACAUGAUAUCUGUUCCAGAAAGAGUCCCAGUAUUCGCCAGAUGUGCUGAGUACAU